UACGUAGGGGGCUAGCGUUGUCCGGAAUCAUUGGGCGUAAAGCGCGUGUAGGCGGCCCGGUAAGUCCGCUGUGAAAGUCGGGGGCUCAACCCUCGGAAGCCGGUGGAUACUGUCGGGCUCGAGUACGGAAGAGGCGAGUGGAAUUCCUGGUGUAGCGGUGAAAUGCGCAGAUAUCAGGAGGAACACCGGUGGCGAAGGCGGGUCUCUGGGCAUUAACUGACGCUGAGGAGCGAAAGCAUGGGGAGCGAACAGG
rnacentral:rRNA from 1 species